AAGCUCGUAGUUGAAUUUCGGGGUCAGUAGGUUGGUCGUGCCACCGGUACGUACUGGUCUCACUGAUUCCUCCUUCCUGAUGAGCUGUAAUGCCAUUAAUUUGGUGUUGCAGGGAAUCUGGACUGUUACUUUGAAAAAAUUAGAGUGUUUAAAGCAGGCUAACGCUUGAAUACAUUAGCAUGGAAUAAUGAAAUGGGACGUUCGAUCCUAUUUUGUUGGUUUCUAGGAUUGACGUAAUGAUUAAUAGGGAUAGUUGGG
rnacentral:rRNA from 1 species